AUUAGAAAAUUUCAGCAUUUUCACUGCUCUUAGGUAAAAGUGAUUUGGUUAAGACUGAGAAACAGAGUCAGAAAAGAACCAUAAAGUAAAUGCCUGCAGGGAGCGAGGCCAAUGAAAUGUUACCUUUACCCUAGUGGGGAGAUUGCUGACUGGACUCUGGGUGCUGGAGAAGUUUAAGGUCUGAGGACCCAGUAGCUCCAAGCUAGAAACUUACGUGUUCCUGAAUCUUCGUCAUCAUAUUAUUCACUUCUUCCUGUUGCACCAAAAGUUGAAUACAGGCUUCUCAACAAGCUGUCACUCAGGUAAUCUAUUUCCUGAUCAUCU
rnacentral:lncRNA from 1 species